GUAGGCUGAAACUCGCCUACAUGAAGCUGGAGUUACUAGUAAUCGCAGAUCAGAAUGCUGCGGUGAAUGCGUUCCCGGGUCUUGUACACACCGCCCGUCACACCACGGAAGUUGGGGCGCCCGAAGCCACUUAGCUAACCCUUUUGGGAAGCGAGUGUCGAAGGUGAAAUCAAUAACUGGGGUGAAGUCGUAACAAGGUACC
rnacentral:rRNA from 1 species